rnacentral:rRNA from 1 species
GAAUUCGCCCUUAGAGUUUGAUCCUGGCUCAGGAUGAACGCUGGCGGCGUGCCUAACACAUGCAAGUCGAACGGAGUUGAAAAGAGCUUGCUUUUUUCAACUCAGUGGCGGACGGGUGAGUAACGCGUGAGUAACCUGCCUUUCAGAGGGGGAUAACGUUCUGAAAAGAACGCUAAUACCGCAUAAGAUUGUAGCUUCGCAUGGAGCAGCAAUCAAAGGAGCAAUCCGCUGAAAGAUGGACUCGCGUCCGAUUAGAUAGUUGGCGGGGUAACGGCCCACCAAGUCGACGAUCGGUAGCCGGACUGAGAGGUUGAUCGGCCACAUUGGGACUGAGACACGGCCCAGACUCCUACGGGAGGCAGCAGUGGGGAAUAUUGCACAAUGGGGGAAACCCUGAUGCAGCGACGCCGCGUGGAGGAAGAAGGUCUUCGGAUUGUAAACUCCUGUUGUUGAGGAAGAUAAUGACGGUACUCAACAAGGAAGUGACGGCUAACUACGUGCCAGCAGCCGCGGUAAAACGUAGGUCACAAGCGUUGUCCGGAAUUACUGGGUGUAAAGGGAGCGCAGGCGGGAAGGCAAGUUGGAAGUGAAAUCCAUGGGCUCAACCCAUGAACUGCUUUCAAAACUGUUUUUCUUGAGUAGUGCAGAGGUAGGCGGAAUUCCCGGUGUAGCGGUGGAAUGCGUAGAUAUCGGGAGGAACACCAGUGGCGAAGGCGGCCUACUGGGCACCAACUGACGCUGAGGCUCGAAAGUGUGGGUAGCAAACAGGAUUAGAUACCCUGGUAGUCCACACUGUAAACGAUG